CCUACGGGUGGCUGCAGUCGAGGAUCUUUCGCAAUGGGCGCAAGCCUGACGAAGCGACGCUGUGUGAAUGAUGAAGGCCUUCGGGUUGUAAAGUUCUUUCGCGAAAGAGCAAGAGAAGCCAGUGAAUAGCUGGCUGAUUUGAGUGUACUUCGUAAAGAAGCACCGGCUAACUCCGUGCCAGCAGCUGCGGUAAUACGGAGGGUGCAAGCAUUAAUCGGAUUUAUUGGGCGUAAAGGGCGCGUAGGCGGGUCGAUAAGUCAGACGUGAAAUUCCGGGGCUCAACCCCGGAGCUGCGUUUGAAACUAUUGGUCUAUAGAGGGAUGACGGAGAAAUUGGAAUUCCACGUGUAGCGGUGAAAUGCGUAGAUAUGUGGAAGAACACCAGUGGCGAAAGCGGAUUUCUAGUUAUUACCUGACGCUGAGGCGCGAGAGCAAGGGGAGCAAACAGGAUUAGAUACCCGUGUAGUC
rnacentral:rRNA from 1 species